CAGCCGCCGCGGUAAUACGAAGGGGACUAGCGUUGCUCGGAAUGACUGGGCGUAAAGGGCGCGUAGGCGGCAUGUACAGUCAGACGUGAAAUUCCUAGGCUUAACCUGGGGGCUGCGUUUGAUACGUGCAGGCUAGAGUGGGGAAGAGGGUUGUGGAAUUCCCAGUGUAGAGGUGAAAUUCGUAGAUAUUGGGAAGAACACCGGUGGCGAAGGCGGCAACCUGGUCCUUGACUGACGCUGAGGCGCGAAAGCGUGGGGAGCAAACAGGAUUAGAUACCCCCGUAGUCCCUGUCUCUUAUAC
rnacentral:rRNA from 1 species